GUGGGGAAUAUUGCACAAUGGGCGCAAGCCUGAUGCAGCGACGCCGCGUGAGGGAUGACGCCCUUCGGGUUGUAAACCUCUUUCGCCAGGGACGAAGCCUUUCGGGGUGACGGUACCUGGAUGAGAAGCACCGGCUAACUACGUGCCAGCAGCCGCGGUAAUACGUAGGGUGCGAGCGUUGUCCGGAAUUAUUGGGCGUAAAGAGCUCGUAGGCGGUUUGUCGCGUCGUUUGUGACAACCCGGGGCUCAACUUCGGGCUUGCAGGCGAUACGGGCAGACUUGAGUGCGGUAGGGGAGAUUGGAAUUCCUGGUGUAGCGGUGGAAUGCGCAGAUAUCAGGAGGAACACCGAUGGCGAAGGCAGAUCUCUGGGCCGUAACUGACGCUGAGGAGCGAAAGCAUGGGGAGCGAACAGGAUUAGAUACCCGGGUAGUCC
rnacentral:rRNA from 1 species